rnacentral:rRNA from 1 species
AUUGAACGCUGGCGGAAUGCUUUACACAUGCAAGUCGAACGGUAACAGGUCUUCGGAUGCUGACGAGUGGCGAACGGGUGAGUAAUAUAUCGGAACGUGCCCAGUCGUGGGGGAUAACGUAGCGAAAGUUACGCUAAUACCGCAUACGAUCUGUGGAUGAAAGCGGGGGAUCGCAAGACCUCGCGCGAUUGGAGCGGCCGAUAUCAGAUUAGGUAGUUGGUGGGGUAAAGGCUCACCAAGCCAACGAUCUGUAGCUGGUCUGAGAGGACGACCAGCCACACUGGAACUGAGACACGGUCCAGACUCCUACGGGAGGCAGCAGUGGGGAAUUUUGGACAAUGGACGUAAGUCUGAUCCAGCCAUUCCGCGUGCAGGAUGAAGGCCCUCGGGUUGUAAACUGCUUUUGUACGGAACGAAAAGGUCUCUCCUAAUACGAGGGGCUCAUGACGGUACCGUAAGAAUAAGCACCGGCUAACUACGUGCCAGCCGCCGCAGUAAUAC